CAAAAACACAACCUCUGUAUAGGCUAAAAUGAAGCGCCACACAUGAUGUCCCACAGCACGUCCAAGCAGUCCAAGAUCGGACAAGAACCGAAGAAACACUGGUGGACUGCAUUGUGACUUCAAAGGGAACAGAGCAGCAUUUAGUGGAUGUUCUCAAUGGGAAACCAUCAAAGUGGUUCCCCCUAAAGCCACGUGUGCCAGUCUACAUGGACAGUGAGCAGCAGUGUGCCAUUCUUUUUCAACACCUCAAAGCUCUGCUGGAUAAUUCUAAAACUCAACUGAACUUCACAGAUGAAGUGGAGUUCAUUUGUAGUUUUCUUUUUCCUGAGGCCAUCAUUCAUGGCCUAUUUGAGAUGCAGGCAUUAUCCUGGCAGGAAGCUGAGGUUUUCCUCCAUGGCCCUACUUAUCACCCUAGUGAAGUCGAGGAAUUUGACAGAGCGAUUGCAAAAAGAAUGAAAAAAGAAGGAACAUUCGCCUACCAGAAAAUAAUUAUUUUACCUUAUGCAUUUACUUUACAUUUUAC